CCGUUGUAAAAAUCCAGCCGCUGGAGCCCGUCUGUUAUAGAAGCUCGUUCGGAAUCCAUCCGCUAUGAAAGUUCGGAUGGAGUCCGGUUCUUGCUGAAGGCUGAAAGGAGGUCGCUUAUUGCAGAAGCUCGGAUGAGGAUCAGUUAUCGUGGAAGCUCGGAGUAGUGUCCUGGCUAGUGGAGCCUGUCCCGUUGUAGAAGCUCGUCUGG
rnacentral:lncRNA from 1 species